rnacentral:misc_RNA from 1 species
UGCAUCGUCGGUGCAUUCUGGGGGUUGUUUCUUGCUUUUGGUUGCUUGCUUGGCCUUGCGGCUUGGUGGGUGGCUUUAGUGAGGCAGUCUCGGGGGAUGUCAACCGUGAAAGGUGCAUGAGUGGUGUUUGGUUUGUUACGGGUGGUUGGAUGUCUGCUUGUGCAGCAACUUCCACGCGUGCUUACCUUUUCAGUCGGCUACGAGGUAACAUUGCCUUGUUGCAUUUAGUGGGUUUCUUGUGUUGCAUACCUUAUCGAUGGCAUUGUUUCGAUCUAUCAAAGCGAAUUCUGGUAACACGUUGCUUGCGGCGUGAUAUCAGCCACGAAGCAAUCUCUGUUGUCCAUGCUGUUCUUUGCUCAUGCAUCGAUGGUAUGGGCCAUGGAGUGUUGCUUGGUGUCUUGGAUAUGGAACCUGUGUGGCACAAGGUGUUCAAAGAUCUUGAGUUUGCCCUAUUUAAGUGUUCUCGCUUCCUUAAACGACCAGCUACCAUAUAUCGGCAUGUCGUUG